GCUUUAUAAAUUUAAAUUGUUAAUUUUAGCUGUGGUUAAUUAGUGAAUUAAAUUUAUUUUGUUGGGGCGACAAGGAAAUUAAUAAACUUUCUUUUUUAAAAACACUAAUGAGUGGAAACAGGAUCCAUAAUUAAUGAUUGAAAGAUUAAGC
rnacentral:rRNA from 1 species